rnacentral:rRNA from 1 species
GAGGAAUAUUGGUCAAUGGCCUAACGGCUGAACCAGCAACUUGCAGGAAUGAGAGUUAAUAUAAAUGAUUUAUUAACUUGCUUGACUAGGUCUUAUAAAGUUCUGGAUAAAGCUGAUAAUGACAACUUUAUAUCCAUAGGUCUCGACUAAAUCUUGUGCCAGCAGUCGCGGUAAGACAAGGGAGACAAGUGUUAUUCAUCUUGAACAGGUAUAUUGGGUACCUAGACUGUGAAUUAAGGCUGUAACAGUACCUUAUACACUAGAGUUUAAUAUGUGAGAGGUAGAUGUCAGAAUUAUUAGAGGAGAGAUGAAAUCCUUUUAUACUAAUAGGACUGAUAAUGGCGAAGGCAAACCUUUAUGUAUAUCUACUUUUUUAGAAUUACCUUUAUGAAAAUAGAAGUAAUAUAAAGAUAAAAAAGUACUAAACUGACGUUGAGGGACGAAGGCUCAGGGAGUGAAGAGGAUUAGAUACCCCCGUAGCCUGGGCAGACAAUGAUGAGUGCCAUAGGUUGGCUUUUAGUUGAACUAUAAAUGAAAGUGGAAGCACUCCACCUCAAGAGUAAUGUGGCAACGCAGGAACUGAAAUCAUUAGACCGUUUCUGAAACCAGUAGUGAAGUAUGUUAUUUAAUUCGAUGAUCCGCGAAUAACCUUACCACAAUUUGAAUGAUCUAGAUUUUAUAUAGUUAAUGCAUAUGUUAAGAUAUGGCUAAUGCAUUAUAUGAUUUAGCCAUUGAUAGUUAGAUUCUUUUUUGAAUAUAUAGAUAAGCAUAGCAUAGAAUUAUAUUGUUUAGACCACAUGCGUUGCAUGGCUGUCUUCAGUUAAUGUCGUGAGAUUUGGUUAGGUCCAUUAAAUUAACGUAAACCCUUGUUUUAUUUAAUACAAUAAGGCAGCUCUCCGCGUACAACUGGAUUUGAUAACAGGGACUAAGACAAGUCAUCAUGGCC